rnacentral:rRNA from 1 species
GAAUAUUGGACAAUGGGCGAAAGCCUGAUCCAGCAAUGCCGCGUGAAUGAUGAAGGCCUUAGGGUUGUAAAGCCCUUUUACCCGGGAUGAUAAUGACAGUACCGGGAGAAUAAGCUCCGGCUAACUCCGUCCCAGCAGCCGCGGUAAUACGGAGGGAGCUAGCGUUGUUCGGAAAUACUGGGCGUAAAGCGCACGUAGGCGGCGCAGCAAGUCAGGGGUGAAAUCCCGGGGCUCAACCCCGGAACUGCCCUUGAAACUGCAGUGCUAGAAUUCUGGAGAGGCGAGUGGAAUUCCGAGUGUAGAGGUGAAAUUCGUAGAUAUUCGGAAGAACACCAGUGGCGAAGGCGACUCGCUGGACAGACAUUGACGCUGAGGUGCGAAAGCGUGGGGAGCAAACAGG